AUUGAACGCUAGCGGGAUGCUUUACACAUGCAAGUCGAACGGCAGCGCGGACUUCGGUCUGGCGGCGAGUGGCGAACGGGUGAGUAAUGUAUCGGAACGUGCCCAGUAGCGGGGGAUAACUACGCGAAAGCGUAGCUAAUACCGCAUACCCCCUACGGGGGAAAGCAGGGGAUCGUAAGACCUUGCACUAUUGGAGCGGCCGAUAUCGGAUUAGCUAGUUGGUGAGGUAACGGCUCACCAAGGCGACGAUCCGUAGCUGGUUUGAGAGGACGACCAGCCACACUGGGACUGAGACACGGCCCAGACUCCUACGGGAGGCAGCAGUGGGGAAUUUUGGACAAUGGGGGCAACCCUGAUCCAGCCAUCCCGCGUGUGCGAUGAAGGCCUUCGGGUUGUAAAGCACUUUUGGCAGGAAAGAAACGUCGCGGGCUAAUACCCCGUGGAACUGACGGUACCUGCAGAAUAAGCACCGGCUAACUACGUG
rnacentral:rRNA from 1 species